rnacentral:rRNA from 1 species
CAAGUCGUACGAGAGUUUUUAACUCUAGUGGCGGACGGGUGAGUAACACGUGAGAAUCUGCCCUAAGGAGGGGGAUAACAGCUGGAAACGGUUGCUAAUACCCCAUAUGCCGAAAGGUGAAAGGAUAUAUCUACCUUAGGAAGAGCUCGCGCCUGAUUAGCUAGUUGGUGAGGUAACGGCUCACCAAGGCCAUGAUCAGUAGCUGGUUUGAGAGGACGAUCAGCCACACUGGGACUGAGACACGGCCCAGACUCCUACGGGAGGCAGCAGUGGGGAAUUUUCCGCAAUGGGCGAAAGCCUGACGGAGCAAUACCGCGUGAGGGAUGAAAGCCUGUGGGUUGUAAACCUCUUUUCUCAAGGAAGAAGUUCUGACGGUACUUGAGGAAUAAGCAUCGGCUAACUCUGUGCCAGCAGCCGCGGUAAUACAGAGGAUGCAAGCGUUAUCCGGAAUCACUGGGCAUAAAGCGUCUGUAGGUGGUUUGAUAAGUCUGCUGUUAAAGACUAGGGCUUAACCCUAGGACAGCAGUGGAAACUGUUAGACUUGAGUAUGGUAGAGGUAGAGGGAAUUCCUAGUGUAGCGGUGAAAUGCGUAGAUAUUAGGAAGAACACCAAUGGCGAGAGCACUCUACUGGGCCACAACUGACACUGAGAGACGACAGCUAGGGGAGCAAAUGGGAUUAGAUACCCCAGUAGUCCUAGCCGUAAACGAUGGAUACUAGGUGUUGCACGUAUUAACCCGUGCAGUAUCGUAGCUAAGGCGUUAAGUAUCCCGCCUGGGAAGUACGCUCGCAAGAGUGAAACUCAAAGGAAUUGACGG